rnacentral:rRNA from 1 species
GAUGAACGCUGGCGGCGUGCCUAAUACAUGCGAGUCGAGCGAACAGAUGAGGAGCUUGCUCCUCUGACGUUAGCGGCGGACGGGUGAGUAACACGUGGAUAACCUACCUAUAAGACUGGGAUAACUUCGGGAAACCGGAGCUAAUACCGGAUAAUAUAUUGAACCGCAUGGUUCAAUAGUGAAAGACGGUUUUGCUGUCACUUAUAGAUGGAUCCGCGCCGCAUUAGCUAGUUGGUAAGGUAACGGCUUACCAAGGCAACGAUGCGUAGCCGACCUGAGAGGGUGAUCGGCCACACUGGAACUGAGACACGGUCCAGACUCCUACGGGAGGCAGCAAUAGGGAAUCUUCCGCAAUGGGCGAAAGCCCGACGGAGCAACGCCGCGUGAGUGAUGAAGGUCUUCGGAUCGUAAAACUCUGUUAUUAGGGAAGAACAAAUGUGUAAGUAACUAUGCACGUCUUGACGGUACCUAAUCAGAAAGCCACGGCUAACUACGUG